rnacentral:piRNA from 1 species
GGACCUGUAAUCUGAGAUUCACGUAG